AUUGAACGCUGGCGGCAUGCCUUACACAUGCAAGUCGAGCGCGAAAGGGGGCAACCCCGAGUAGAGCGGCGGACGGGUGAGUAACGCAUCGGAACGUGCCCAGUAGUGGGGGACAACCUCGAGAAAUCGAGGCUAAUACCGCAUACGACCCACGGGUGAAAGCGGGGGACCGCAAGGCCUCGCGCUAUUGGAGCGGCCGAUGUCCGAUUAGCUAGUUGGCGGGGUAANAGCCCACCAAGGCGACGAUCGGUAGCUGGUCUGAGAGGACGACCGGCCACACUGGACUGAGACACGGCCCAGACUCCUACGGGAGGCAGCAGUGGGGAAUUUUGGACAAUGGGGCAACCCUGAUCCAGCCAUGCCGCGUGCGGGAAGAAGGCC
rnacentral:rRNA from 1 species